rnacentral:rRNA from 1 species
CCCUUAGAUGUUCUGGGCCGCACGCGCGCUACACUGACGAUGGCAACGAGUUUUUCCUUCGCCGAAAGGUGUGAGUAAUCUUUUGAAACAUCGUCGUGCUGGGGAUAGAUCAUUGCAAUUUUUGAUCUUGAACGAGGAAUUCCUAGUAAGCGCGAGUCAUCAGCUCGCGUUGAUUACGUCCCUGCCCUUUGUACACACCGCCCGUCGCUACUACCGAUUGAAUGGUUUAGUGAGGACUCCUGAUUGGCGCCGCCGCCCCGGCAACGGAGCAGCGGACUGCCGAAAAGUUGUUCAAACUUGAUCAUUUAGAGGAAGUAAAAGUCGUAACA